AUUGAACGCUGGCGGCAUGCUUUACACAUGCAAGUCGAACGGUAACAGGCCGCAAGGUGCUGACGAGUGGCGAACGGGUGAGUAAUGCAUCGGAACGUGCCCAGUCGUGGGGGAUAACGCAGCGAAAGCUGUGCUAAUACCGCAUACGAUCUAUGGAUGAAAGCGGGGGAUCGCAAGACCUCGCGCAAUUGGAGCGGCCGAUGUCGGAUUAGCUAGUUGGUGGGGUAAAGACCCACCAAGGCGACGAUCCGUAGCUGGUCUGAGAGGACGACCAGCCACACUGGGACUGAGACACGGCCCAGACUCCUACGGGAGGCAGCAGUGGGGAAUUUUGGACAAUGGACGCAAGUCUGAUCCAGCCAUGCCGCGUGCGGGAAGAAGGCCUUCGGGUUGUAAACCGCUUUUGUCAGGGAAGAAAUCUUCUGGGUUAAUACCUCGGGAGGAUGACGGUGCCUGAAGAAUAAGCACCGGCUAACUACGUGCCAGCAGCCGCGGUAACAC
rnacentral:rRNA from 1 species